UUGGAGGGCAAGUCUGGUGCCAGCAGCCGCGGUAAUUCCAGCUCCAAUAGCGUAUAUUAAAGUUGUUGCAGUUAAAAAGCACGUAGUUGAAUUUCGGGAUUAGUACGUCGGUCGUGCCUUAGGUACGUACUGGUGUUACUGGUUCCUACCUUCUGACGAACCAUCAUGUCAUUAAUUUGGUGUGGUGGGGAAUCAGGACUGUUACUUUGAAAAAAUUAGAGUGUUUAAAGCAGGCUCGCGCUUGAAUACAUUAGCAUGGAAUAAUGAAAUAGGACGUUGAUCCUAUUUUGUUGGUUUCUAGGAUUAACGUAAUGAUUAAUAGGGAUAGUUGGGGGCAUUAGUAUUCAAUUGUCAGAGGUGAAAUUCUUGGAUUUAUUGAAGACUAACUACUGCGAAAGCAUUUGCCAAGGAUGUUUUCAUUAAUCAAGAACGAAAGUUAGGGGAUCGAAGACGAUCAGAUACCGUCGUAGUCUUAACCAUAAACUAUGCCGACUAGGGAUCGGAUGAUGUUAUUUUUAAUGACUCAUUCGGCGCCUUACGGGAAAC
rnacentral:rRNA from 1 species